rnacentral:rRNA from 1 species
CUAUGCAUGCAGUCGAACGGGCGAAGGGGCUUCGGCCCCCUAGCUAGUGGCAGACGGCUGAGUAAUACGUAAGUGAUCUACCCCGGAGAGGGGGAUAAGCCGAAGAAAUCCGGUCUAAUACCCCGUACGCUCCCUCUAUUACGGUAGAGAGAGGAAAGUUCCGGCGCUCUGGGAGGAGCUUGCGGCCUAUCAUGGUAGUUGGUGGGGUAAAAGCCUACCAAGCCGAAGACGGGUAACCGGUGUGAGAGCACGAUCGGUCAGAGGGGGACUGAGACACGGCCCCCACUCCUACGGGAGGCAGCAGCAGGGAAUCUUGCGCAAUGGGCGAAAGCCUGACGCAGCGACACCGCGUGGGGGAUGAAGGCUCUCGAGUUGUAAACCCCUUUUCUCGGGGAAGAGACAGGACGGUACCCGAGGAAUAAGGUUCGGCUAACUACGUGCCAGCAGCCGCGGUAAUACGUAGGAACCGAGCGUUGUCCGGAUUUACUGGGCGUAAAGUGCGCGUAGGCGGUUCGUUAAGUCUCAUGUGAAAUCUCCCGGCUCAACUGGGAGGGGUCAUGGGAUACUGGCAGACUUGAGUACAGCAGAGGGGAGUGGAAUUCCCGGAGUAGUGGUGGAAUGCGUAGAUACCGGGAGGAACACCAGAGGCGAAGGCGACUCCCUGGGCUGUGUCUGACGCUGAGGCGCGAAAGCGUGGGUAGCAAACCGGAUUAGAUACCCGGGUAGUCCACGCCCUAAACGAUGGAUACUAGGUAUGGGGGGUAUCGACCCCCUCCGUGCCGCAGCUAACGCAUUAAGUAUCCCGCCUGAGGAGUACGGCCGCAAGGCUAAAACUCAAAGGAAUUGACGGGGACCCGCACAAGCAGCGGAUCGUGUGGUUUAAUUCGAUGAUAAGCGAAGAAC